rnacentral:rRNA from 1 species
GACGAACGCUGGCGGCGCGCCUAACACAUGCAAGUCGAACGAGAGAUGAGGAGCUUGCUCUUCAAAUCGAGUGGCGAACGGGUGAGUAACGCGUGAGGAACCUGCCUCAAAGAGGGGGACAACAGUUGGAAACGACUGCUAAUACCGCAUAAGCCCACGGCUCGGCAUCGAGCAGGGGGGAAAGGAGCAAUCCGCUUUGAGAUGGCCUCGCGUCCGAUUAGCUAGUUGGUGAGGUAACGGCCCACCAAGGCGACGAUCGGUAGCCGGACUGAGAGGUUGAACGGCCACAUUGGGACUGAGACACGGCCCAGACUCCUACGGGAGGCAGCAGUGGGGAAUAUUGCACAAUGGGGGAAACCCUGAUGCAGCGACGCCGCGUGGAGGAAGAAGGUCUUCGGAUUGUAAACUCCUGUUGUUGAGGAAGAUAAUGACGGUACUCAACAAGGAAGUGACGGCUAACUACGUGCCAGCAGCCGCGGUAAAACGUAGGUCACAAGCGUUGUCCGGAAUUACUGGGUGUAAAGGGAGCGCAGGCGGGAGAACAAGUUGGAAGUGAAAUCCAUGGGCUCAACCCAUGAACUGCUUUCAAAACUGUUUUUCUUGAGUAGUGCAUAGGUAGGCGGAAUUCGUGGUGUAGCGGUGAAAUGCUUAGAUAUCACGAAGAACUCCGAUUGCGAAGGCAGCUUACUGGACUGUAACUGACGCUGAUGCUCGAAAGUGUGGGUAUCAAACAGGAUUAGAUACCCUGGUAGUCCACACAGUAAACGAUGAAUACUCGCUGUUGGCGAUACACAGUCAGCGGCCAAGCGAAAGCAUUAAGUAUUCCACCUGGGGAGUACGCCGGCAACGGUGAAACUCAAAGGAAUUGACGGGGGCCCGCACAAGCGGAGGAACAUGUGGUUUAAUUCGAUGAUACGCGAGGAACCUUACCCGGGCUUAAAUUGCAGUGGAAUGUAGUGGAAACAUUACAGCCUUCGGGCCGCUGUGAAGGUGCUGCAUGGUUGUCGUCAGCUCGUGCCGUGAGGUGUCGGCUUAAGUGCCAUAACGAGCGCAACCCUUAUCUAUAGUUACUAUCAGGUCAUGCUGAGGACUCUAUGGAGACUGCCGUCGUAAGAUGUGAGGAAGGUGGGGAUGACGUCAAAUCAGCACGGCCCUUACGUCCGGGGCUACACACGUGUUACAAUGGGGGGUACAGAAGGCAGCUACCUGGCGACAGGAUGCUAAUCCCUAAAACCUCUCUCAGUUCGGAUUGGAGUCUGCAACCCGGCUCCAUGAAGCUGGAUUCGCUAGUAAUCGCGCAUUCAGCCACGGCGCGGUAAUACGUUUCCCGGGCCC